GUAGGUGAACCUGCGGAAGGAUCAUUAAUGAUUGCGAAUCGUUGCCUUCAGUGCUGGCUUUGGCAAGUGCACGUUGGUGACUUUCAUCCAAUACCCUGUGCACCUUUGGCCUCUUGCUAGCUUCGGCCGGCAGAGGAUUUUACACAAACUCGAAUGUAAUGAAAUUUAUUGUGUGCGCAAGCACUAAUGUACAACUUUCAACAACGGAUCUCUUGGCUCUCGCAUCGAUGAAGAACGCAGCAUCUGACUG
rnacentral:misc_RNA from 1 species